AUUCCGGUUGAUCCUGCCGGAGGCCAUUGCUAUUGGAGUUCGAUUUAGCCAUGCUAGUUGCACGAGUUUAGACUCGUGGCGGAAAGCUCAGUAACACGUGGUCAAACUACCCUAUAGACCAGGAUAACCUCGGGAAACUGAGGCUAAUCCUAGAUAACGCUCCCCUGCUGGAAUUGCAGGGAGCCGGAAACGCUCCGGCGCUAUAGGAUGUGACUGCGGCCGAUUAGGUAGACGGUGGGGUAACGGCCCACCGUGCCGAUAAUCGGUACGGGUUGUGAGAGCAAGAGCCCGGAGAUGGAUUCUGAGACA
rnacentral:rRNA from 1 species